CGGGACACGUGGUAUCCUGUCUGAAUAUGGGGGGACCAUCCUCCAAGGCUAAAUACUCCUGACUGACCGAUAGUGAACCAGUACCGUGAGGGAAAGGCGAAAAGAACCCCGGCGAGGGGAGUGAAAAAGAACCUGAAACCGUGUACGUACAAGCAGUGGGAGCACGCUUCGGCGUGUGACUGCGUACCUUUUGUAUAAUGGGUCAGCGACUUAUAUUCUGUAGCAAGGUUAACCGAAUAGGGGAGCCGAAGGGAAACCGAGUCUUAACUGGGCGUUAAGUUGCAGGGUAUAGACCCGAAACCCGGUGAUCUAGCCAUGGGCAGGUUGAAGGUUGGGUAACACUAACUGGAGGACCGAACCGACUAAUGUUGAAAAAUUAGCGGAUGACUUGUGGCUGGGGGUGAAAGGCCAAUCAAACCGGGAGAUAGCUGGUUCUCCCCGAAAGCUAUUUAGGUAGCGCCUCGUGAAUUCAUCUCCGGGGGUAGAGCACUGUUUCGGCAAGGGGGUCAUCCCGACUUACCAACCCGAUGCAAACU
rnacentral:rRNA from 1 species